rnacentral:snoRNA from 1 species
GCAUGGGUUUGGGUUUGUGGCAGGUCUGUCCCCCAGGGUCUCUCAUAGUGUCCCAUGCCAGCGCAAAGUGUUACCCCAGAACCAUUUCCUGGCUUCUGCCUGUAGGCUGCUGGCACUGAAGUGGAUUUCACAGUG